UACGGAGGGGGCUAGCGUUGUUCGGAAUUACUGGGCGUAAAGCGCACGUAGGCGGCUUUGUAAGUUAGAGGUGAAAGCCCGGGGCUCAACUCCGGAAUUGCCUUUAAGACUGCAUCGCUAGAAUUGUGGAGAGGUAAGUGGAAUUCCGAGUGUAGAGGUGAAAUUCGUAGAUAUUCGGAAGAACACCAGUGGCGAAGGACGACU
rnacentral:rRNA from 1 species